AGAAUCAGCGCUGGCGGCGUGCCUAACACAUGCAAGUCGCACGAGAAAGGGGAGCAAUCCCUGAGUACAGUGGCGCACGGGUGAGUAACACGUGAAUAAUCUACCUCCGAGUGGGGAAUAACUGAGAGAAAUCUUAGCUAAUACCGCAUAAUACCCACGGGUCAAAGCAGCAAUGCGCUUGGAGAGGAGUUCGCGGCAGAUUAGUUAGUUGGCGGGGUAAUGGCCCACCAAGACGAUGAUCUGUAUCCGGCCUGAGAGGGCGCACGGACACACUGGAACUGAAACACGGUCCAGACUCCUACGGGAGGCAGCAGUGGGGAAUUUGCGCAAUGGGGAAACCUGACGCAGCAACGCCGCGUGGAGGAUGAAGCCCCUUGGGGUGUAAACUCCUUUCGAUCGGGAAGAUAAUGACGGUACCGAUAUAAGAGCCCCGGCUAACUUCGCGCCAGCAGCCGC
rnacentral:rRNA from 1 species